GACGAACGCUGGCGGCGUGCUUAACACAUGCAAGUCGAACGGAAAGGCCUGCUUUCCCUUGUGGAUUGCGGGUACUCGAGUGGCGAACGGGUGAGUAACACGUGAAUGAUCUGCCCCCAACUUGGGUAUAAGCCUGGGAAACUGGGUCUAAUUCCCGAUAGGACUGCAGGGUGGUGCCUGUGGUGGAAAACGAUUUUCUAGUGGUUGGGGAUGAGCUCGCGGCCUAUCAGCUUGUUGGUGGGGUAAUGGCCUACCAAGGCGGCGACGGGUAGCCGGCCUGAGAGGGUGGACGGCCACAUUGGGACUGAGAUACGGCCCAGACUCCUACGGGAGGCAGCAGUGGGGAAUAUUGCACAAUGGGCGGAAGCCUGAUGCAGCGACGCCGCGUGGGGGAUGACGGCCUUCGGGUUGUAAACUCCUUUCGACCGCGAGGAAGCCACCUGGUUGGAAGGGUGGUGACGGUAGUGGUAGAAGAAGCACCGGCUAACUACGUG
rnacentral:rRNA from 1 species